rnacentral:rRNA from 1 species
AGAGUUUGAUCAUGGCUCAGAUUGAACGCUGGCGGCAUGCUUUACACAUGCAAGUCGAACGGUAACAGGCCUUCGGGUGCUGACGAGUGGCGAACGGGUGAGUAAUGCAUCGGAACGUGCCCAAUUGUGGGGGAUAACGUAGCGAAAGUUACGCUAAUACCGCAUAAGCCCUGAGGGGGAAAGUGGGGGACCGCAAGGCCUCACGCGAAUGGAGCGGCCGAUGUCAGAUUAGCUAGUUGGUGGGGUAAAGGCCCACCAAGGCGACGAUCUGUAGCGGGUCUGAGAGGAUGAUCCGCCACACUGGGACUGAGACACGGCCCAGACUCCUACGGGAGGCAGCAGUGGGGAAUUUUGGACAAUGGGCGCAAGCCUGAUCCAGCCAUGCCGCGUGCGGGACGAAGGCCUUCGGGUUGUAAACCGCUUUCAGCCGGAAAGAAAUCGCCAAAGCUAAUAACUUUGGUGGAUGACGGUACCGGAAGAAGAAGCACCGGCUAACUACGUGCCAGCAGCCGCGGUAAUACGGAGGGUGCGAGCGUUAAUCGGAAUUACUGGGCGUAAAGCGUGCGCAGGCGGUUUUGUAAGCCAGACGUGAAAUCCCCGGGCUUAACCUGGGAACUGCGUUUGGAACUGCAAGACUAGAGUGUGUCAGAGGGAGGUGGAAUUCCACGUGUAGCAGUGAAAUGCGUAGAUAUGUGGAGGAACACCGAUGGCGAAGGCAGCCUCCUGGGAUAACACUGACGCUCAUGCACGAAAGCGUGGGGAGCAAACAGGAUUAGAUACCCUGGUAGUCCACGCCCUAAACGAUGUCAACUGGUUGUUGGGAGAGAAAUCUUUCAGUAACGAAGCUAACGCGUGAAGUUGACCGCCUGGGGAGUACGGCCGCAAGGUUGAAACUCAAAUGAAUUGACGG